AGCGUAGACGGCGAAGCAAGUCUGAAGUGAAAGCCCGGGGCUCAACCGCGGGACUGCUUUGGAAACUGUUUUGCUAGAGUGCUGGAGAGGUAAGUGGAAUUCCUAGUGUAGCGAUGGAAUGCGUAGAUAUUAGGAGGAACACCAGUGGCGAAGGCGGCUUACUGGACAGUAACUGACGUUGAGGCUCGAAAGCGUGGGGAGCAAACA
rnacentral:rRNA from 1 species